rnacentral:rRNA from 1 species
UACGUAGGUGGCGAACGUUAUCCGGAAUUAUUGGGCGUAAAGGGUGCGUAGAUGGCCUGAUAAGUUAGCAGUGGGAAAUCGAGGCUCAACCUCGUGGAAGCUGGUAAUACUGUCAGGCUCGAGUGCAGGAGAGGUUAACGGAACUCCAUGUGGAGCGGUAAAAUGUGUAGAUAUAUGGAAGAACACCAAUAACGGCGAAGGCAGUUAAUUAUUCUGUUACUGACAUUGAGGCACGAAAGCGUGGGGAGCAAAACGG